CCCUCUGGAAAAGCCUGUGGGCGGAGUUGGGGUGGGUGGCGGUGAGGGAAGAUAGAAGUGCUGUCUGACCCUGCUGGACUCCUUCGCGAGCUUCGGGGACUAGAACGCGCAGGCGCAAAUGCACAGCGCGGACCCCCACGAAGAAGCCAGGGCGCUGAGGGUCCAGGCUCCAGCUUGUUCCCUGCUACAUCAACUGGAGGAGAAAAGUUUGUGAAUUGGGCCCCCAAGUUUUGGGGGACCCGGGCUUGCGGCGUGGGGUGACAGAGGAGGCUCGUUGGAGCUUCCCCCAUGGAGCCUAUCCAGCCUGCAGAGGAACUCAGCUUGACCCAGCAGUCCCCCACCCCAGAAUUUGGGGACCCUGAAGACCCAGGGGAUGAGACCCUUGAUGGCUCAGACACGGUGGUGCUCAGCCUCUUCCCCUGCACCCCGGAGCCCGGGAAUCCUGAGCCAGAUGCUGGCGCCUCCUCACCUCAGGGUAGGUACUUUCCCUGGGCUUCGCCUCUGGGGUACAAGGACAGUGGCAUGCCAGGCCCAAGAUGAGGCCUCUGCCUUUGUUUCCUACCACCUAAAUGUGUCUCCUGCCCCACUCAGGGAGGGAUUGCUUAUUUGUUUUUAUUGUGGCAAAAUCCACAUAACAUGAAAGUUACCAUUUUAACCAGAAUCGUGUAUAAUCCAGUGGC